rnacentral:rRNA from 1 species
GACGAACGCUGGCGGCGCGCCUAACACAUGCAAGUCGAACGAGCGAGAGAGAGCUUGCUUUCUCGAGCGAGUGGCGAACGGGUGAGUAACGCGUGAGGAACCUGCCUCAAAGAGGGGGACAACAGUUGGAAACGACUGCUAAUACCGCAUAAGCCCACGGUGCCGCAUGGCACCGAGGGAAAAGGAGCAAUCCGCUUUGAGAUGGCCUCGCGUCCGAUUAGCUAGUUGGUGAGGUAAUGGCCCACCAAGGCGACGAUCGGUAGCCGGACUGAGAGGUUGAACGGCCACAGUGGGACUGAGACACGGCCCAGACUCCUACGGGAGGCAGCAGUGGGGAAUAUUGCACAAUGGGGGAAACCCUGAUGCAGCGACGCCGCGUGGAGGAAGAAGGUCUUCGGAUUGUAAACUCCUGUUGUUGGGGAAGAUAAUGACGGUACCCAACAAGGAAGUGACGGCUAACUACGUG